AUGAACGCUAGCGACAGGCUUAACACAUGCAAGUCGAGGGGCAGCACAGGUAGCAAUACCGGGUGGCGACCGGCGCACGGGUGAGUAACGCGUAUGCAACUUGCCUAUCAGAGGGGGAUAACCCGGCGAAAGUCGGACUAAUACCGCAUGAAGCAGGGGCCCCGCAUGGGGAUAUUUGCUAAAGAUUCAUCGCUGAUAGAUAGGCAUGCGUUCCAUUAGGCAGUUGGCGGGGUAACGGCCCACCAAACCGACGAUGGAUAGGGGUUCUGAGAGGAAGGUCCCCCACAUUGGUACUGAGACACGGACCAAACUCCUACGGGAGGCAGCAGUGAGGAAUAUUGGUCAAUGGGCGUAAGCCUGAACCAGCCAAGUCGCGUGAGGGAUGAAGGUUCUAUGGAUCGUAAACCUCUUUUAUAAGGGAAUAAAGUGCGGGACGUGUCCCGUUUUGUAUGUACCUUAUGAAUAAGGAUCGGCUAACUCCGUGCCAGCAGCCGCGGUAAUACGGAGGAUCCGAGCGUUAUCCGGAUUUAUUGGGUUUAAAGGGUGCGUAGGCGGCCUUUUAAGUCAGCGGUGAAAGUCUGUGGCUCAACCAUAGAAUUGCCGUUGAAACUGGGGGGCUUGAGUAUGUUUGAGGCAGGCGGAAUGCGUGGUGUAGCGGUGAAAUGCAUAGAUAUCACGCAGAACCCCGAUUGCGAAGGCAGCCUGCCAAGCCAUUACUGACGCUGAUGCACGAAAGCGUGGGGAUCAAACAGGAUUAGAUACCCUGGUAGUCCACGCAGUAAACGAUGAUCACUAGCUGUUUGCGAUACACUGUAAGCGGCACAGUGAAAGCGUUAAGUGAUCCACCUGGGGAGUACGCCGGCAACGGUGAAACUCAAAGGAAUUGACGGGGGCCCGCACAAGCGGAGGAACAUGUGGUUUAAUUCGAUGAUACGCGAGGAACCUUACCCGGGUUUGAACGCAUUCGGACCGAGGUGGAAACACCUUUUCUAGCAAUAGCCGUUUGCGAGGUGCUGCAUGGUUGUCGUCAGCUCGUGCCGUGAGGUGUCGGCUUAAGUGCCAUAACGAGCGCAACCCUUGCCACUAGUUACUAACAGGUGAUGCUGAGGACUCUGGUGGGACUGCCAGCGUAAGCUGCGAGGAAGGCGGGGAUGACGUCAAAUCAGCACGGCCCUUACAUCCGGGGCGACACACGUGUUACAAUGGCGUGGACAAAGGGAGGCCACCUGGCGACAGGGAGCGAAUCCCCAAACCACGUCUCAGUUCGGAUCGGAGUCUGCAACCCGACUCCGUGAAGCUGGAUUCGCUAGUAAUCGCGCAUCAGCCAUGGCGCGGUGAAUACGUUCCCGGGCCUUGUACACACCGCCCGUCAAGCCAUGGGAGCCGGGGGUACCUGAAGUCCGUAACCGAAAGGAUCGGCCUAGGGUAAAACUGGUGACUGGGGCU
rnacentral:rRNA from 1 species